GUCAUCUAAUAAAAGGCAGCUGCCUGCUCUUUCAGCAGGACAGCUUUGGUAUGGCACUUCAGGUGCUGGGGUAAUGAGAAACCCCAACUGCAAGCAGCGAUUACCGGAGCUGCAUCUGCUGCUACAGCGUUAAACUGCACCCAGAUACUCCUAACCAGAUCUCGGCCCGUGUGUGUGUGGCAGCCGUAUUGAGGCUGAUUUGACUCAGCCGUGCUACGACUUGUGACUUCCUGUCUGUGUGCCGAGAGCCGCUAUUCCUUUCAGCUUCGCCUGCAGCGGUGCCAUCCAGAGUAGCAGAGCGUUUGACGGCGUCGGUGGUGCACUGGCCCUCCUGCUGCUCCAUCUUGCCAUUCCGCCGCGACCAAUCUCAUCUCCAGUGCCG